rnacentral:rRNA from 1 species
AAUAGAUACCCCGGGUAGUCCACACGGUAAACGAUGAAUGCUAGGUGUAGGGGGUAUCGACCCCUUCGUGUGCCGGAGUAAACACAAUAAGCAUUCCGCCUGGGGAGUACGGCCGCAAGGUUGAAACUCAAAGGAAUUGACGGGGGCCCGCACAAGCAGCGGAGCAUGUGGUUUAAUUCGAAGCAACGCGAAGAACCUUACCAGGUCUUGACAUCCAGUAAAAACUGUAGAGAUACAGUGUCCCUUCGGGGGUACUGAGACAGGUGGUGCAUGGUUGUCGUCAGCUCGUGUCGUGAGAUGUUGGGUUAAGUCCCGCAACGAGCGCAACCCUUAUUUUCAGUUACUAACGCGUGAAGGCGAGGACUCUGAAGAGACUGCCGGGGACAACUCGGAGGAAGGUGGGGACGACGUCAAAUCAUCAUGCCCCUUAUGACCUGGGCUACACACGUGCUACAAUGGCUACUACAAAGAGGAGCGAGCCCGUAAGGGGGAGCGGAUCUGAGAAAAGUAGUCCCAGUUCGGGUUGUGGGCUGCAACCCGCCACGUGAAGUCGGAGUU